CCUAAUACAUGCCAGUCGAGCGGACAGAAGGGAGCUUGCUCCCGGAUGUUAGCGGCGGACGGGUGAGUAACACGUGGGUAACCUGCCUGUAAGACUGGGAUAACUCCGGGAAACCGGAGCUAAUACCGGAUAGUUCCUUGAACCGCAUGGUUCAAGGAUGAAAGACGGUUUCGGCUGUCACUUACAGAUGGACCCGCGGCGCAUUAGCUAGUUGGUGAGGUAACGGCUCACCAAGGCGACGAUGCGUAGCCGACCUGAGAGGGUGAUCGGCCACACUGGGACUGAGACACGGCCCAGACUCCUACGGGAGGCAGCAGUAGGGAAUCUUCCGCAAUGGACGAAAGUCUGACGGAGCAACGCCGCGUGAGUGAUGAAGGUUUUCGGAUCGUAAAGCUCUGUUGUUAGGGAAGAACAAGUGCAAGAGUAACUGCUUGCACCUUGACGGUACCUAACCAGAAAGCCACGGCUAACUACGUGCCAGCAGCCGCGGUAAUACGUAGGUGGCAAGCGUUGUCCGGAAUUAUUGGGCGUAAAGGGCUCGCAGGCGGUUUCUUAAGUCUGAUGUGAAAGCCCCCGGCUCAACCGGGGAGGGUCAUUGGAAACUGGGAAACUUGAGUGCAGAAGAGGAGAGUGGAAUUCCACGUGUAGCGGUGAAAUGCGUAGAGAUGUGGAGGAACACCAGUGGCGAAGGCGACUCUCUGGUCUGUAACUGACGCUGAGGAGCGAAAGCGUGGGGAGCGAACAGGAUUAGAUACCUUGGGUAAGUCCA
rnacentral:rRNA from 1 species